AUGCAUGUUUUGGUCCAGUGCCCGUUUUUGUCCUCUUUCUAGGAAUAUAGAAAGAGGACAAGCAUAAACAUGCUAGAUUAACACAAACAUUUGGGAGUUAACAGGGCCACCAGUCUCUCAAGGUCAGGCUGAGUUGGUAGUAUAAUACUCCCACAAUC